rnacentral:ncRNA from 1 species
UUGGGAGAAAAUUAGUAAAUCUUAGUCUGCCUGUUCAUGUAUAGUGUUUUGCUUCCAUGGACGGCAGCAAAAGUCUUAAUGCCCCACGGACGGGGCAUUUAAGACGUACACGUCACUUUGUCACAACCUAAUUCAGGCAGACUUAGAUUUUCUUAUUUUCGUAC